CAGUCGCCGCGGUAAUACAGAGGGUGCGAGCGUUAAUCGGAUUUACUGGGCGUAAAGCGUGCGUAGGCGGCUUUUUAAGUCGGAUGUGAAAUCCCUGAGCUUAACUUAGGAAUUGCAUUCGAUACUGGGAAGCUAGAGUAUGGGAGAGGAUGGUAGAAUUCCAGGUGUAGCGGUGAAAUGCGUAGAGAUCUGGAGGAAUACCGAUGGCGAAGGCAGCCAACUGGCCUAAUACUGACGCUGAGGUACGAAAGCAUGGGGAGCAAACAGGAUUAGAUACCCGUGUAGUCCCUGUCUCUUAUAC
rnacentral:rRNA from 1 species